rnacentral:rRNA from 1 species
UACGUAGGGGGCAAGCGUUGUCCGGAUUUAUUGGGCGUAAAGAGCGUGUAGGCGGCUUUACAGGUCCGUUGUGAAAACUCGAGGCUCAACCUCGAGACGCCGGUGGAAACCGUAAAGCUAGAGUCCGGAAGAGGAGAGUGGAAUUCCUGGUGUAGCGGUGAAAUGCGCAGAUAUCAGGAAGAACACCCGUGGCGAAGGCGGCUCUCUGGGACGGUACUGACGCUGAGACGCGAAAGCGCGGGGAGCGAACAGG